rnacentral:tRNA from 1 species
GGUAAGAUGGCUGAGGGUCAAGCGGCGGAGUGUAGUUCCGAGGACAGAGGUUUAAAUCCUCUUAUUACC